ACUUGUAAUUAGGCCCAUCUGAAUUUAAUAUAAUAACACCAAUUUAUACCAGCUGAGGAUCUGGCUCACUUCUAUUUUAAACUGCCCAAAAUGAUGCCGACUGAGUCAUGGUGCCUUGGGAAUAUGUUUGUGACAUAACCCCAGCUACAAAGCAGGAAUUCUACUGGAUACCACUGGAGAGCUCUCCUGGAGAGCCAGCAGCAGCAGGGCGGCCUGAGAGCAAGAUCAACUACAGAAUCUCCCAAAACUGUGUCAAGGAGACCCAGCAAGAGCAGGAAAAGUGUGGAGGACUGGUGAGACUGAUUUAACAGAAACCUGCACCGACAGCUACAAAUAGGAGCAGCAAGGUUGUCAAUGACUGUAACUGGAGCUGUGCUAAGAUGCUGUGGCUGAGCAGUCUAGAAACAGGCACAAAGAUUUAACAAUACAAAUCUUAGACCGGAAGCAGAAGAACACAGCAAAGAUUUGCUGCCUGCCUUCAUCCCAGCACUGACCAUCACGAAUAGGCAAAGGACACAGAGAAGACUCAGUGUGCUAUGAUCAGCCAUCAUCCCUGGUGUUAGAAGCAGUGCACUGGAAAAAGAGGAAAUUGCUAUACCAGGCAAGACUUCAGCCAUUCAUCAGUCUCAGCCAACUGAUGCUACAGUCCAGUCCAAAGUCACCAGUGUUGACAGGGUAUAAGCUCAGCUUGGUAUAUAAAACACUUCCCCGUCAGUCAGUGUCAGUACAUACUCCAAAAAACCAAGCCACAAUCCUUAAUCCCACAGCCUCAACAUACAAGACAAUCAGUGAAUGAAAGAAGCAAUGGGUUUGUGAAGUGACCCCCAGCAGGACAGAGGCAAACAAUGGCAAAGCUGGAGAAGUACCUCCCUACCCUAAUCCCACACCCAUGAACAUGGCAUCUCUUUAUCCCAGUGCUGCUAGUGCCAGUGCUCUCUCUUUCCAGGAAAGACUCCACCACAAGAACACUCCAACCCAGAAGUUUAUCAUCUAAUAAACUUGGGUUUGUUAGAGAAAUGCAGUGGGAAUUGUAUGGACAGGAACACCUUGAAUGUACCCGGUUGGAACUGGUUUGGAUCUGCUAAAAUUGCUCUCUCACCGUUGCCCGUCCCACUCACACAGGCAGGGAAGAACAGGAGGAAAAGGAGAAUUCAUGAAGUGCAGCCAUACUCAAAAA